GCCAGACUCCUGCGGGAGGCAGCAGUAGGGAAUCUUCCACAAUGGACGAAAGUCUGACGCAGCGACGCCGCGUGAGGGAUGAAGGUUUUCGGAUCGUAAACCUCUGUCAGGAGGGAAGAAAGCGCAUGGCGCCAAUCAGCCAUGCGUUGACGGUACCUCCAAAGGAAGCGCCGGCUAACUCCGUGCCAGCAGCCGCGGUAAUACGGAGGAUGCGAGCGUUAUCCGGAUUUAUUGGGUUUAAAGGGUGCGCAGGCGGAAUGUCAAGUCAGCGGUAAAAUUUCGGGGCUCAACCCCGUCGUGCCGUUGAAACUGGCGUUCUUGAGUGAGCGAGAAGUAUGCGGAAUGCGUGGUGUAGCGGUGAAAUGCAUAGAUAUCACGCAGAACUCCGAUUGCGAAGGCAGCAUACCGGCGCUCAACUGACGCUCAUGCACGAAAGCGUGGGUAUCGAACAGGAUUAGAUACCCCUGUA
rnacentral:rRNA from 1 species